rnacentral:tRNA from 1 species
GGUGGCUCAGUGGUAGAGCCUUGCCUGGCAUGCAUGAGGCCCUGGGUUCGAUUCCUCAGCACCA